rnacentral:miRNA from 1 species
AUCAAGUGGUACAUCACUGAGC